GCCUUCGUGGUGUAGUGGUCAGCACGUUCGGCUCGUAUUCGAGAGGUCCGUGGUUCGAGUCCCGGUAAAGGCA
rfam:Stegodyphus mimosarum contig74417, whole genome shotgun sequence.